rnacentral:rRNA from 1 species
UACAGAGGUCUCAAGCGUUGUUCGGAUUCAUUGGGCGUAAAGGGUGCGUAGGCGGCGCGGUAAGUCGGGUGUGAAAUCUCGGAGCUUAACUCCGAAACUGCAUUCGAUACUGCCGUGCUUGAGGACUGGAGAGGAGACUGGAAUUUACGGUGUAGCGGUGAAAUGCGUAGAUAUCGUAAGGAACACCAAUAGCGAAGGCAGCUCGCUGGGACGGUAUUGACGCUAAGGCGCGAAAGCGUGGGGAGCAAACAGG